rnacentral:rRNA from 1 species
UACUCUAUGACAUAACAUAGAGCAUCUCCUGCUCAGUGAAACUUAACAGCCGCAGAAUUUUAAUACUGUGCUAAGGUAGCACAAUCACUUGUCUUUUAAUUAAAGAAUAGAAUGAACGGAAAAACGAAUUUUAGCCUGCUUCAUUAUUUCCUAAUAAAAUUAAAAAGAAGUAAUAAUUCUUUUUUCAACCAAAAAGACGACAAGACCCUAAAGAACUUAAACUAAAGUUUAGCUGGGGCGGCACAAUAAAAAAAUCUUAUCAGUAUAAAUUUCUUCUAAAUUAAUGUUACCUUAGGGAUAACAGCAUAAUUUAAUUUUACAGCUCAUAUAAAAAAUUAAGAUUAUGACCUCGAUGUUGAAUUAAAAUUCUUUUAAAAGAAAAUUUUUAACAAGAAAGUCUGUUCGACUUAUAACAACUUACAUGAUUUGAGUUCAGACCGGUGAAAACCAGGUCGGUUUCUAUCUUUUUUAAAAAUGUACUAGUACGAAAGGACCAUACAACUAGUUU